AGCGAACGCUGGCGGCAGGCUUAACACAUGCAAGUCGAGCGGGCAUCUUCGGGUGUCAGCGGCGGACGGGUGAGUAACGCGUGGGAACGUGCCUUCUGGUUCGGAAUAACUCAGGGAAACUUGAGCUAAUACCGGAUACGCCCUUUUGGGGAAAGGUUUACUGCCGGAAGAUCGGCCCGCGUCUGAUUAGCUAGUUGGUGGGGUAACAGCCUACCAAGGCGACGAUCAGUAGCUGGGCUGAGAGGAUGAUCAGCCACACUGGGACUGAGACACGGCCCAGACUCCUACGGGAGGCAGCAGUGGGGAAUAUUGGACAAUGGGGGCAACCCUGAUCCAGCCAUGCCGCGUGAGUGAUGAAGGCCUUAGGGUUGUAAAGCUCUUUUAUCCGGGACGAUAAUGACGGUACCGGAGGAAUAAGCCCCGGCUAACUUCGUGCCAGCCGCCGCAGUAACA
rnacentral:rRNA from 1 species